AGAGUUUGAUCCUGGCUCAGGAUGAACGCUAGCUACAGGCUUAACACAUGCAAGUCGAGGGGCAGCAUUUCAGUUUGCUUGCAAACUGGAGAUGGCGACCGGCGCACGGGUGAGUAACACGUAUCCAACCUGCCGAUAACUCGGGGAUAGCCUUUCGAAAGAAAGAUUAAUACCCGAUGGUAUAAUUAGACCGCAUGGUCUUGUUAUUAAAGAAUUUCGGUUAUCGAUGGGGAUGCGUUCCAUUAGGCAGUUGGUGAGGUAACGGCUCACCAAACCUUCGAUGGAUAGGGGUUCUGAGAGGAAGGUCCCCCACAUUGGAACUGAGACACGGUCCAAACUCCUACGGGAGGCAGCAGUGAGGAAUAUUGGUCAAUGGGCGCAGGCCUGAACCAGCCAAGUAGCGUGAAGGAUGACUGCCCUAUGGGUUGUAAACUUCUUUUAUAUGGGAAUAAAGUUUUCCACGUGUGGAAUUUUGUAUGUACCAUAUGAAUAAGGAUCGGCUAACUCCGUGCCAGCAGCCGCGGU
rnacentral:rRNA from 1 species